GACGAACGCUGGCGGCGUGCUUAACACAUGCAAGUCGUACGGUAAGGCCCUUUCGGGGGUACACGAGUGGCGAACGGGUGAGUAACACGUGAGUAACCUGCCCACAACUUUGGGAUAACGCUAGGAAACUGGUGCUAAUACUGGAUAUGUGCUCCUGCUGCAUGGUGGGGGUUGGAAAGCUCCGGCGGUUGUGGAUGGACUCGCGGCCUAUCAGCUUGUUGGUGGGGUAGUGGCCUACCAAGGCGGCGACGGGUAGCCGGCCUGAGAGGGUGACCGGCCACAUUGGGACUGAGAUACGGCCCAGACUCCUACGGGAGGCAGAAGUGGGGAAUAUUGCACAAUGGGCGCAAGCCUGAUGCAGCAACGCCGCGUGCGGGAUGACGGCCUUCGGGUUGGAAACCGCUUUCAGCAGGGACGAAGCUUUUUGUGACGGUACCUGCAGAAGAAGCACCGGCUAACUACGUG
rnacentral:rRNA from 1 species